rnacentral:lncRNA from 1 species
CACAGCCUCACAUGACCACUGAGCACUUGAAAUGUAGUUAAUAUGCUAAGAAAGCCCAUUUAAAUUUUUAUUUUCAACUUACUUAAAUUCAAAGAGCCACAGGGGUCUAGUGGCUCCUGUAUUGACAGCACAGGGCCACCUUGUUAGUGGCAUCAUUUAUAACCCUGGGCAGCAUUGCUAUAGGAAUAGCCAUAUCCUGUAGGUCUAUAAUGCUGUAGAAAUGGAAUGUGUGGUGCGAAUGAAAUUUAAAAUUUAAGUAGCCACGGUGAAAAAAAAAGAGAAACAAGUAAAAUUCAUUUCAUAAUAUGCUUUAUCUCUAUUUCCAAAAUAUUAUCAUCUCAACAUGUAAGAAAUAUAAGAAGUAUUCAUGAGAUAUUUUACAUUCCUUUGUUCAUCAUAAGUGUUUGAGAUCCCAUGUGUGUCUGACACAGCACCUGACUUUGAACUCACCACAUUUCGAGUGCCCCAUAGCCCAUGUGGCCAUGGUUUAGAGAUUUCAGAAAGCAUUCAUGGAAAAUUCUCUUUCCUGAUCCUCAUUCACUAUCCUGGGAAGUGGCCAGAUAAGGAAGCAAGGCCCAGAAGGGCCCAGCCAGUGGCUCUCAGACUCCAGAGUCAUCGAGUCCCUCACUCGAGGGCAGGUUAACUCACAGAUGGCUGGCCCCCACCCUCUGCAUUUGCCAUCCAGCAGGUCUGGGUGGGUACCAGGAUGCGGAUUCGUAACAGGAGAGGCUGAUGCUGCCAGUCUGGGUCCACAUUUUGAGAAGCAUUCCUCCAAGGGUCCCACCCACGCUCAUACCCCAGGUGUCCCUGAAGUUCAGGUGGGAAUCUGAAGACACUUUCCUGAUCCACGCAGGCGACUUCAGACAAUGUCCUACACUUAGCCACGGGUAAAUCAUGCUUUUAAUAUGCUCAAUGGCAGAACUGGUCAAAGCCACUCUGAGCUGCUGAGAGCACUUCAGAUUAUUUUCCACACCAGCAGGCGAUAGAAGUGGCAUUCAGGGACUGCUGUCAUUGCUGCUGAGAUCCAAGACUCCUCUUGGUGCACUGUGAUUUGCAGGGAAAGCUGUGUCUCUCUGACUUGCAGGCCAGAGGUUCUGAAGAUUGCUUGAGGUUGCAAGUACCUCCAAGCUUGAGCAGCAGUUUUGAAGUGUGGAGAUGGGAGGUGAGUUAUUCACAUCUCUAACAAAGGAGCUGCUGCUUCUGGCUUCAGGAGGGGCUGAGAGGCCCCUGAUUCACUAUCUCAUCACUGGGCUGGAAGCUCCACAGGGAUCAGUUAGGCCUGUGGGCCAUGCUUUCAGCACUUGGAGGAGAAGAUCCCUUAGACUCAGCCUUUGGCUCCAUGCCACUCUUGACAAUGUACAGGGAAGCCACUUGGACCUGAUGCUGGAGUUUAAUCAACAGACAAGGAAGAGGCCCCAGUGUGUACUGGGCAAAAGAACGGGACGGGUGUGCUGAAAAGCGUCUCAUAAACAGACUUUGUUUUCCUGUGUUUUAACUCAGCGUGAAAGUUUCUCUAGGUCUCCUCUCCUGGGGGAGAAAGGUAGCGGCUGGUUUCCUGUUCCAUUGCUUCUUUAGUAUCCUGAGAGAGAACAGCCAUGGGCACCCAGCUGCCCCAGCCUCUUCCUGUCCCAGGGCCCCGAGGCUGCCCUUCAGCGGUCUCCAGCUUCCUGCUCCUGUAAGCAGGGGCCUCUCUUUUUGGCUUUCCUGACAUUUCUCCUGACCUCUUCUGCUAGCCCUCCUGAACGCACAGUAAUAUCUGUACAUUGCAGUUGGUCCCCAGGCUGCUGCCUCUCUGUCUCUCCAUCUAAUGUUGCAUCUGUGCACUUUAGAAGUACCCGGGAGCCUUCAAAAUAUUUGGAUGCCUGGACACCACUCCAGAUAAUUCAGUCAGAGUCUCUGAAGACAGGGCCCAGGCA